GAUGAAGAACGUAGCGAAAUGCGAUACGUAAUGUGAAUUGCAGAAUUCAGUGAAUCAUCGAAUCUUUGAACGCAUAUUGCGCUCUCUGGUAUUCCUGAGAGCAUGCUUGUUUGAGUAUCAGUAAACACCUCAACUUCCAUAUCUUUUUUGAAAUGGGAGUUAGACUUGAGUGAUCCCAACGCUUUUCCUCACCGAAAAGUGGCGGGUUACUUGAAAUGCAGGUGCAGCUGGACUUUUCUCUGAGCUAUAAGCAUAUCUAUUUAGUCUGCCUAAAAAACAGAUUAUUACCUUUGCUGCAGCUAACAUAAAGGAGAUUAGUUCUUGUGCUGACUGAUGCAGGAUUCACAAAGACGGCUUCGGCCGACUUUGUAAACUCGAUCUCAAAUCAAGUAAGACUACCCGCUGAACUUAAGCAUAUCAAUAAGCGGAGGA
rnacentral:misc_RNA from 1 species